rnacentral:lncRNA from 11 species
CUCGCUGGAGCAAUGGUGUGUGGGAGGGCACCCUCUGCUGCAAUCUCUCUGCCUGUGUGAUACAGGAUGCAGAAUAACUGAAGCAAAUAAUUAAAGUGGCAUGACAAGUUUUUUGCAGCAAUGUCCAGAUCUCCACGAGCAAGGAUACUGUUGUUGUCAUUAUAUUACUACAACUACUUUCUACUACCAACCUAUCUCCCCGGAGGGACUCAAGGAGGAUUCCAAACAUAAAAGGCAAACAUUCAAUGCCCAAACACAACAACAGUACAUCCAUAAUAAUGAAAAUUGACAACCCAACAUAUAAAAACAAAUUAUGACUUAAUAACUAAAAUUA